CGCUGGCGGCGUGCUUAACACAUGCAAGUCGAGCGAGGGGCUUCGGCUCCUAGCGGCGAACGGGUGAGUAACACGUGGGCAACCUGCCUCGAGCUCUGGAAUAACCUCGGGAAACCGGGGCUAAUGCCGGAUAUGACACUACCGGGCAUCUGGUGGUGUGGAAAGAUUUAUCGGCUCGAGAUGGGCCCGCGGCCUAUCAGCUUGUUGGUGGGGUGAUGGCCUACCAAGGCGACGACGGGUAGCCGGCCUGAGAGGGCGACCGGCCACACUGGGACUGAGACACGGCCCAGACUCCUACGGGAGGCAGCAGUGGGGAAUAUUGCGCAAUGGGCGGAAGCCUGACGCAGCGACGCC
rnacentral:rRNA from 1 species